rnacentral:rRNA from 1 species
GGAAACGGCUGCUAAUACCGGAUGUGCCGAAAGGUGAAAGAUUAAUUGCCUAGAGAUGAGCUCGCGUCUGAUUAGCUAGUUGGUGUUGUAAGGGACUACCAAGGCGACGAUCAGUAGCUGGUCUGAGAGGACGAUCAGCCACACUGGGACUGAGACACGGCCCAGACUCCUACGGGAGGCAGCAGUGGGGAAUUUUCCGCAAUGGGCGAAAGCCUGACGGAGCAAUACCGCGUGAGGGAGGAAGGCUCUUGGGUUGUAAACCUCUUUUCUCAAGGAAGAAUACAAUGACGGUACUUGAGGAAUAAGCAUCGGCUAACUCCGUGCCAGCAGCCGCGGUAAUACGGAGGAUGCAAGCGUUAUCCGGAAUGAUUGGGCGUAAAGCGUCCGCAGGUGGCAAUGAAAGUCUGCUGUUAAAGAGUGAGGCUCAACCUCAUAAAAGCGGUGGAAACUACAUAGCUAGAGUACGUUCGGGGCAGAGGGAAUUCCUGGUGUACGGUGAAAUGCGUAUAGAUCAGGAAGAACACCGGUGGCGAAAGCGCUCUGCUAGGCCUGUACUGACACUGAGGGACGAAAGCUAGGGAACGAAUGGGAUUA